rnacentral:piRNA from 1 species
UGUCUUGAACUCUUGAUUUCGGGUGAUGGU